rnacentral:lncRNA from 1 species
UGAUCUUAAUUGUAACAUACUACAUUUUGGUAUAAAAAUAAAAAUAAAUAAAAAUAGUGUGAGAAACUAUUUUUAUUAGAUUUAUAGAAGUAAAAUAUAAGUCAGAAGUGACUUGUGCUGAAAUCGGAAUGAAAAUAGAAUAUCUAGAAUUUUCUGUUCGAAACGGGACAGAUAAAUUAGCAGAAAAUGCACAGUUUCAGAAAAUUAUGAAAAUUGGAGGAUAAGUCAGAAAUAUUUUUAUGAUGCUAGAUUUAAUGUUUCAUAUUUUUCUGACACCCGUAGAGUGAGAAA